UGAUGAGUAAUUGAUAAAUGA
rnacentral:piRNA from 1 species